UGGGGGAUAUUGCACAAUGGGCGAAAGCCUGAUGCAGCGACGCCGCGUGGGGGAUGAAGGCCUUCGGGUUGUAAACUUCUUUUGCUCUGAACAAGGCGCACCAUGGGGUGUGUUGAGUGUAGGGGUUGAUUAGCGCCGGCUAACUACGUGCCAGCAGCCGCGGUAAUACGUAGGGCGCGAGCGUUGUCCGGAAUUAUUGGGCGUAAAGGGCUUGUAGGUGGCUGGUUGCGUCUGUCGUGAAAGCUCAUGGCUUAACUGUGGGUUUGCGGUGGGUACGGGCUGGCUUGAGUGCAGUAGGGGAGGCUGGAAUUCCUGGUGUAGCGGUGGAAUGCGCAGAUAUAAGGAGGAAUACCGGUGGCGAAGGCGGGUCUCUGGGCUGUUACUGACACUGAGGAGCGAAAGCAUGGGGAGCGAACAGG
rnacentral:rRNA from 1 species